GAUUUCUUUACAAGACUAAGCAAGACUCCAGCGCUUAGGCAUGUUGCUACGACACCAAGAGACGCCUCUGUGGAAACAUGGUAUCCGAAAAAGUCUAGGAUCAUUUUGAUUCCAAUGAAUCCCAGGACAACACCAAUGGAAGGCUGUAGAUAUUCCAACUCCCCCAUACUUUCAGAAAUGAGUGUGUACAAUGACCUCAAUCCUAAAAUUGCAAAGAGAUUGGAUGUGAAAACUAUGAAAGGAUCUCUUGUGACACCAAAAACUGCUGGUAUAGAAUCAACAGCAAAUGCAAUAUCACUGAGUUCAAUAACCGCUACUGUAAGAAGUAAAGGUGUAGCUUUCCAUACACCAUCCUGC
rnacentral:misc_RNA from 1 species